UGUUGAGACUAUUUUCACCUGCGGUUGGCAUAGGUGACCGCAUGUGAAAAUGUUUUCAUGCGAUUGCACUACCCGCAUGGAAAAAUGGUGAUCUUCAGACACCUUGGUGUAGACAGGCCAACCAACAGCAUGCAAAAAAUUGUUUUAGCCGCCUGAAACAAAGUUAGUGUAAUCUAGGGAUAACAUGCUGAUCUUCCCCAAGAGUCCACAUUGACGGGAAGGUUAGACAUCGACCCUUCACUAUUUGGAGCUAUAGGUGGUUCCAAGGGUUGGGUUGUUCACCCAUUAAUUCAGUACGUGAGCUAGGUUCAGAACACCAUGAGAUAGUUCGGUCCAUAUCCAUGUGGGCCUUUUAGCAUUGAGAUGACCUUUGCCUAGUACGAGAGGACCGACAAAGGACACACCUCGGGUGUACUAGUUAUCAUGCCUACGGUAAACGCUAGGUAGCUAAUUGCAAAGAGGAUAACCGCUGAAAGUAUAUAAGUAGUAAGCUCACCUCAAGAUGAGUGCUCUCUCCUCUAACUUCUCUAGAGCCUCCACUAG
rfam:Oryza punctata chromosome 10, whole genome shotgun sequence.